CAGCAGUAGCCGCGGUAAUACGAAGGGUGCAAGCGUUACUCGGAAUUACUGGGCGUAAAGCGUGCGUAGGUGGUGGUUUAAGUCCGUUGUGAAAGCCCUGGGCUCAACCUGGGAAUUGCAGUGGAUACUGGGUCACUAGAGUGUGGUAGAGGAUAGUGGAAUUUCCGGUGUAGCAGUGAAAUGCGUAGAGAUCGGAAGGAACAUCUGUGGCGAAGGCGACUAUCUGGGCCAACACUGACACUGAGGCACGAAAGCGUGGGGAGCAAACAGGAUUAGAUACCCGCGUAGUCCCUGUCUCUUAUAC
rnacentral:rRNA from 1 species